CUUGGCAUUUAGAGGAAGUAAAAGUCGUAACAAGGUUUCCGUAGGUGAACCUACGAAGGAUCAUUACAAGUGAGGCUACCGAACGUUGGAAACAGCGGUUAGGGCUUACACCCACCCGUGUCUACAUACUAUUGUUGCUUUGGCGGGCCGUGCCUCCACUGCGGGCUCUGCUCGUGUGUGCCCGCCAGAGAACCAAACUCUAAUGUUAGUGAUGUCUGAGUACUAUCUAAUAGUUAAAACUUUCAACAACGAUCUCUUGGUUCUGGCAUCGAUGAAGAACGCAGCGAAAUGCGAUAAGUAUGUGAAUUGCAGAAUUCAGUGAAUCAUCGAAUCUUUGAACGCACAUUGGCCCUGUGGUAUUCCGCAGGGCAUGCCUGUUCGAGCGUCAUUUAACCACCACGCCUAGCGUGGUAUUGGGGCACGCGGUCUCCGCGGCCCUCAAAAUUGUGGCGGCGCCGGUGGGCUCUAAGCGUAGUACACACUCCCGCUAUAGAGUCCCCCGGUGGCUCGCCAGAACCCCCAAUUUUUACAGGUUGACCUCGGACAGGUAGGGAUACCCGCUGAACUUAAGCAUAUCAAUAAGCGGAGGA
rnacentral:rRNA from 1 species